UAAAAUUUAAUAUUUACAAUAAUUGUUUUGAAUGUCACCGUUUUUGAUGUGCUGACCUUAUUUACGAUUUAUACUUUAUGCGAAGUUUUUUGAACGCCGUUUCUUAUAUUACGACAACGCUUCUGAAGAUGGCUAAUUAGUCGAAACAUGUAAAGCGGAUUUACUUAUAAUAAACCAGUAUAAAAGUACAAUUAGUGAUUUAUAAAAAUCAAAAUUCAAUCAAAUAUCAUAUAGAAAAAAAAGUCUCAAGAAGAAGAAACAGAUUAGAGAGUGAUGAGCAGAGCCGCGACGUUUCGGGCUGUUGAUGUCACCAUCUGUAUGCUGGUAUUGAGGCUUAAGAUAGAAAAGAGAAUGCAAAAGCAAGGAAGACAUUACACAGAGAAGAACGAAAACCAGACAGGUAAUUGAAGAAACAUGAACCCUACUUAUUAAAAAUGGUGGAAACGCAUUGAUACAACAUGUGGUGGAUCUUGUUGUAGCGAAUGAAAUGCGGGUACCAAGGACCGGUAGGUAGAAGAUCAGUUUGGUUGGGUUGGGCCGAAGAAAGGAUUUGUGGAUGAUGUUGAGGUGGACCUAAGAAGGUUGAAGGUUGGGGUUUGGAGACGACAGGCAUGGGAUAGAUAAGUUUGGAAGGAACUGUUAAGGUAGACCAAAGCUAUAAAGCCAAGUAUGAUGACGAUUGACUUUUCUAUGACUUCCUAUCCUUCCUUUAAGACCUUCCUAUCUUAUAAAGCCUUGUUGUUCUUCGGCUAGUGUUGUAAUGGAAACAAUUUUGGUUGCAAU